GGGAGAGAGAGACAGCAACAGAAUACCGGACUUGCCGACUGGAGAAGGAUUUUUUUUCUUUUCUUAAAUGAAAAGGAGCUUGAAAAGAGACAUUCUUUCUUUUUUUCUCACAGAUCUCUCUCUUUCCAUUUUGUCUGGCCACAUCUUCCCCUGCUCUGCUAGGCUGACCAGCGCAGACAUACAGAGAGGGCUGCGGCAGCCUCCGCCACCAUGGUCAGCUGGAGCUUACUACACUCUCUGCUGCAGACCGCCGCCAUCUUGUUACAGCUUGUGCUGCCGGUCUGCCCACCUCUGCUGCACUCAAACCAAAUCGUCGAACCCAGCCUCAAGUGUUUGCCAGCGUCUCUCUCCUGCCACUGUUGUUUUGUUCCAUGCCAGUCCUGCCUCUGCAUGACUUUAUCACAACACUUCCCUGCACCCAGCUAAUGGACGGAUUUUAUCGCUGUGCAGAGGCAGACAUGCCUGGAACGUUUAGGUGUGCAUUAUCCUUGAAUGGAUGUCACAGAGUGGAGGCUACAGACACCGUCAUCAUGAUCUAACAGCAAAUUUAUACUUAUUAGUAUGUAGUAUGGAAAGUAUGUCAUUGGUAAGAUAUAUUCAAAUGCAGACUCUGCGUCUCAACCUGGUUGAGUUAGCAAAACCAUGACUAAAACUUUACUGUAACUGUCACCAAAAUAACUGAGCACAUAUAUAUGCUAUCUUUGUGUGUGUGUGUGUGUGUGUGUGUGUGUGUGUGUGUGUUAGAGAGGGAGAAUCUGUGCUGUUUCACCAUAUGUGCACAGAGCAGACGUCCAUCAUAAAAUGACUGGUUCACACAUGCUCACAUUCACUCCAAUCACACAAUUUUCACAGAACAAGUCUGGACAUGAUUAGAUUGUAUAGAUAAAUCAUUUUUCAAACAGUGCCAUAAAUUAUUCACAAAUGUCUGCAUUCUAGCUGUAAUUUUUGUAGUACUACAAAGGCACUACACAGUACAUCAUACUUUUUUCACAGAAUCAGAUAUGGGUGACAUACAAAUUUAUUAAAGCAAAGGGAACAAAUCCAGAAAACAUAUUUCAGCUUACAGUAUGAAAAUGGUAUUGCUGUAUUGAACUGUGCUUUGGUGAAAAACAAGUGGAUGUGAGUAGGCGGAGGACAGAGUAUUAGAGCAGUGAGUUCAGAAGGUCUUCGAUCCUCUUAGACACUCUGCCAAGAAGAAACUAUACUAAUGAAAUCACAAAGAGUAUGAAGAAAACAAACUGUCCCUCGAGAAUACAUCCAUACAUCUGAGGUUGCCAGUUUUAUUUGUUUACUCGUUUGUCUGAACAUACUGUACAUGCACUGUAGCUUUGCAGUGAUACUGUAUAUGAAAGGCCAAAGGCUGCCUUGCUUCAGGGUUAAAAUUUUGUCAGCUUUUAUCUGACAUUCCCUUUUACAGGUCAGUGGAGGCAGCCCGCUGUCCCACCAGCUAUGAGUCAAUCACAGAGCUGUUCAAUGACAGCGACUAGAAGUAUGCAAAUCAUACAUCACAGUCAUAUGUAGUCUGAAUGUUAUGUGGUUCAAGAUAAAGCAGAAAAAAUGACUACAUGCCUAGAAUAGAUAUGCAAAUGUCUUGUCUAAGACUGAAAACCCUCUUCCCAAAUUGUAGAAGCAGUCAGUCCUUAAAUGACUUAAAACUCACAAGCUAUCAACAAAUAAAAUGUUGACAGACUAAUCAUUGAUAUGGUUCCUAUGAAAAAGGCAAGUUUUCUUUCAGUUUAAGCCCUUAUUCUGUACAAUUAUCAGCAAGUAUUUGUCAUUAUUAAUAGAUGAUAUACAGUUAUAUUUUACUGACAAAUGAAAUAAUAAAUGGACAUUUUUCUUUAGAGGACAAACUAUUUAGGCAGUACACAUAACAAUCAAGCAAGUAAUGGUAAGAGAUGCUAUAGAAAUAGAAGACAAAAUAACAGCCUUAUAAAGUAUAACGCAAAAACAGCAACACAACAAAUGCUUCAAUUUAGGGCCUCAAAAAUUUAUUGACAGUUACAGUCAACAAAAAUUGAACAUUAUAAGAUUCUCAAAUGUAUUUUGUCAGGCUUCAGCUUUUGAUUGCAAUAUACUUUAUUGUAAAGUGUUCCUGUUUUUGUCAACUCCCUGUCAUAAUGGGCAGAGAUGAAGGCAGCAGGUUUAGAAAACACAGACCAUAAGAUUUCCUAAGCGCCAUUAUUUUCACGUUAUCUGUUUUUAGGGAUGACAUUGUCAGUUUUUCAGUCGGUCGGUCCAGCACUUUGGUCCAGACCAAAACAUCUCAGCAAUUUUUGAUCCACUUUUUACAGAUAUCCACGAUGCCCAAAGGAUGAAUCAUAAUGACUUUGGUGUUCCCCUAACUUUUCCGCCAACGCUACCAGCAGGUAAAAUUUACACUUAUCCACUGAAAAAUCUCCACAUCUAUUAGAUGGUUUGGCACAUUCAUUGUUCCCUGACGAUAUAUCCUUAUGACUUAGGUGAUCCCCUGAUUUUUCCUCUAGCGCCACCAUGAGGUUGACAUUUGUGGUUUUAAGGUAAAUGUCUCAACAACUACUGAGUAGAUUGCCAUGAAAUCUGGUGCAGACAUUCAUAUCCUUUGGUAAUCCCUUGAACUUUUUAUCUAGCACCGUCAUCAGGUCAAAAUGUCAAUUUGUCCAACACUUUGGUUUAUGACCAAAUACCUGCAAAACUAAUUA